AGGACGAACGCUGGCGGCGUGCUUAACACAUGCAAGUCGAGCGGUAAGGCCUUUCGGGGUACACGAGCGGCGAACGGGUGAGUAACACGUGGGUGAUCUGCCCUGCACUUCGGGAUAAGCCUGGGAAACUGGGUCUAAUACCGGAUAUGACCUCCUAUCGCAUGGUGGGUGGUGGAAAGAUUUAUCGGUGCAGGAUGGGCCCGCGGCCUAUCAGCUUGUUGGUGGGGUAAUGGCCUACCAAGGCGACGACGGGUAGCCGACCUGAGAGGGUGACCGGCCACACUGGGACUGAGACACGGCCCAGACUCCUACGGGAGGCAGCAGUGGGGAAUAUUGCACAAUGGGCGAAAGCCUGAUGCAGCGACGCCGCGUGAGGGAUGACGGCCUUCGGGUUGUAAACCUCUUUCAGCAGGACGAAGCGCAAGUGACGGUACCUGCAGAAGAAGCACCGCUAACUACGUGCCAGCAGCCGC
rnacentral:rRNA from 1 species